CUGAAUGAGCAAACACAACAGGCACACAGGCUGUCUGGCCCCUGGGGGUCUGAGAAUAGUGGAGGAACCCAGGAAAGGAUGCUGCCAGAGUCCUUGUGGUCUGUUGAGCAGGGGUCUCAGCAAACUGGUCCCACUUUUCUCAGAUAAGAGAUGCCUGCUGGAAUCUAAGCAGAUCUGAUUGAACAGGGCCUUGUGGUUCCCAGGACAGUCUCAACCGUGCUGUGUAGCAGAGAACGUCUUGAUUCUCCUGCUUUCCCAUCCCAAGAUUCUGAAACUGUGGGCAUCGGCCACACACCAAGCUUAUUUAUAGAAAUGUGCUGAAGGGUAACCCGGUGCCCACUUCUGGUCUGAGCUCUGCUUCCUGAUCUGCCAGUACGUGAAGAAGUCACGCCACCAGCUCCCACCUCCACAGGGAUUUUAUCACAGCAACAGGAAGAGAAACUAAUGCCAUUGAGGGUAUCAAGCUGACGGCAGAGCUUGAGGAAGGGCAGCCGCUUCACCAGUUCACGUCCUUGCUUCCCGCUCCACAUGGAUGGCUGCUUCUCUCCACUCCCUGACCAUUUUGCUGCAUGUGAUGAAACAGACCCAGGGAUUAGAGAGUGGUGCGUUCAGAACCAGAAGUCAGAACUCAAACUCAAGCAGGUCUAUCACCUCCCCUAGACACCUUUGAGACCAGAGAUGGCCACUGGAGGAUGUUGGAGCCUUACUAUGGAACAGCUUGAUGGAUCCCCUUCUGCAGGGUGCCCUAAGGACUUCUCCCAGUAUCACGUUCUGUGCUCCAUCUAAACAAGAAGCACUGAUGGCUCCACACCAGCCCUGAGUAUCUCAGAACAGAAGAGCCAGGCUCCCAGAUGGGAGCAUCUUUUUGAUUACUUUUUAAUGAAAAACGCAUUUGCAUCCAGCCUGAAAUUAUAUUGUCAGCAGUUAAUUAUCACCUGUC
ensembl:lincRNA A930031H19Rik uncharacterized LOC110292120